rnacentral:rRNA from 1 species
UGGGGAAUAUUGCACAAUGGGCGCAAGCCUGAUGCAGCAACGCCGCGUGAGGGACGACGGCCUUCGGGUUGUAAACCUCUUUUAGUAGGGAAGAAGCGAAAGUGACGGUACCUGCAGAAAAAAGCACCGGCUAACUACGUGCCAGCAGCCGCGGUAAUACGUAGGGUGCAAGCGUUGUCCGGAAUUAUUGGGCGUAAAGAGCUCGUAGGCGGUUUGUCGCGUCUGCUGUGAAAACCCGAGGCUCAACCUCGGGCCUGCAGUGGGUACGGGCAGACUAGAGUGCGGUAGGGGAGAAUGGAAUUCCUGGUGUAGCGGUGGAAUGCGCAGAUAUCAGGAGGAACACCGAUGGCGAAGGCAGUUCUCUGGGCCGUAACUGACGCUGAGGAGCGAAAGCGUGGGGAGCGAACAGGAUUAGAUACCCUGGUAGUCCACGCCGUAAACGUUGGGCGCUAGAUGU